GCGCUCUUAGUUUAGCUUGGCAGAACGUAGGUCUCCAAAGCCUAAUUCCAUAGGUUCAAAUCCUACAGAGCGUG
rnacentral:tRNA from 1 species